rnacentral:rRNA from 1 species
GCAAGGAAUUUUCCGCAAUGGGCGCAAGCCUGACGGAGCAACGCCGCGUGUGGGAUGACGCUUUUCGGAGUGUAAACCACUGUUCGUGGGGACGAAGCACUGACGGUACCCACGGAGGAAGGCCCGGCUAACUACGUGCCAGCAGCCGCGGUAAUACGUAGGGGUCGAGCGUUGUCCGGAGUUACUGGGCGUAAAGCGCAUGCAGGCGGCUCAUUACGCAUGGCGUGAAAGCCCCCGGCUUAACCGGGGAGGGUCGUCGUGAACGGGUGAGCUUGAGGGUAUCAGGGGCUGGUGGAAUUCCCGGUGUAGUGGUGAAAUGCGUAGAGAUCGGGAGGAACACCUGUGGCGAAGGCGGCCAGCUGGGAUACACCUGACGCUGAGAUGCGAAGGCGUGGGGAGCGAACGGGAUUAGAAACCCCAGUAGUCC